CACAACUGGAGCUGGAGCAGCUAGGACACAGGGAGCAGUGUCCCAAGGUUGUGCCUGGCAGCAGGGCCCUGGACCUGGCCUGCAAGACCAUUCUUCCUUCCUAGGCCUCUGGGCCUGUUACAGGAGGGGCUGCUGCAAAGGUCUCUGAAAUGCCUUCGAGGCACUUUCCCCAUUGUCUUGGCUGUUAACAUUCAGCUCUUCUUUACUUAUGCAAAGUUCUGCAGUCAGCUUGAAUUCCUCCCCAGAAAAUGGAUUUGUCUUUUCUACUACAUGGCCAGACUUCAAAUUUUCCAAACUGUUACCCUCUGCUCCCCUUUCAAAUAUAAGUUCCAGUUUCAGGUCAUUUGUUUGCUCACAAAU
rnacentral:lncRNA from 1 species